rnacentral:lncRNA from 1 species
GGUAUCCACACGAGGCCUGAUCUGAUCGGAGGUUCUUUAUUCUCCCUGAGGUGGUAGCUCCUUUUCAAAGAAUGCUUCAUUGAUGGUUGAACAAGGUCUCCUUCAAUCUCUAAGAUAAUCUUAAGAUAGAAAAAGAAAGGAGGAAGAAGAAGAUACAAGAGAGGAAGAACUCUUCUCUCUCCCUUUGCUCUCAAAGACCUUAUGCCC